rnacentral:rRNA from 1 species
CGAAAGCCUGACGGAGCAAUACCGCGUGAGGGAGGAAGGCUCUUGGGUCGUAAACCUCUUUUCUCAGGGAAGAACACAAUGACGGUACCUGAGGAAUAAGCAUCGGCUAACUCCGUGCCAGCAGCCGCGGUAAUACGGAGGAUGCAAGCGUUAUCCGGAAUGAUUGGGCGUAAAGCGUCCGCAGGUGGCUGUGUAAGUCUGCUGUUAAAGAGUCUAGCUCAACUAGAUAAGAGCAGUGGAAACUACACAGCUAGAGUACGUUCGGGGCAGAGGGAAUUCCUGGUGUAGCGGUGAAAUGCGUAGAGAUCAGGAAGAACACCGGUGGCGAAGGCGCUCUGCUAGGCCGUAACUGACACUGAGGGACGAAAGCUAGGGAAGCG